AAACCAUGAUUUGAGCAUUUACGAAGCAAUCCUUUAUAUCGAUCCCAACAUUCAUACAUUGAUUCAUCAUCAUGUUGACGAAAAGAAGCAAUGGCAUUCCUUAGUUG